rnacentral:rRNA from 1 species
UACGGAGGGUGCGAGCGUUGUCCGGAAUCAUUGGGCGUAAAGGGCGCGUAGGUGGCCCGGUCAGUUCGUGGUGAAAGCGCGGGGCUCAACCCUGCGUCGGCCAUGAAUACUGCCGCGGCUGGAGCACUGUAGAGGCAGGCGGAAUUCCGGGUGUAGCGGUGGAAUGCGUAGAGAUCCGGAAGAACACCAGUGGCGAAGGCGGCUCACUGGCCCGGUACUGACGCUGAGGUGCGAAAGCGUGGGGAGCAAACAGG